UCCACAAACUCGAGUUAUGAUUAGGUGAAAGAAUAAUCUAACAUAUGUACUAAUGUGGACUAUAUCUGUUUUUCAGGUGAUGGGGGUUACGGCUGCUACUCUUGGCUCCUUACUCCAUUGUCCCAACCUGAUUCUCCUGCUGAACACAGUUACAAUCAUGCACAUAAGGCUACGCGGAAUGUGAUAGAAAGAUGUUUUGGUGUGCUGAAGUCACGGUUUCGGUGUCUGGAUAAAUCUGCUGGCCUUUUGUUGUAUAGUCCCUCAAAGAUAACUGAGGGGAUCGGGGCUCAUCACUCUGCGAACUCGCCAAUAGUGCCAGUGGUGGCUGGGGUGACACUGCCGAAAGUCGUCGCCUGGGUGGGGAUGAUGGAGCCGCAGAUUCCGAGCCAAGACGCCGUGUCUUACUUGGCCUCCUGGAAUAUGUGACUACACUGAAGUCUUACCUGCAAUCCCAGCCUCAUCCUGACUUGUCUGAGGCCUGUCUGGCCGGCUGGUCUGUGGGACUGUUGAAAAAGUGUACCAAACAUUAUUACCAUGCUUUGUGUAAAAAAAAACCCUGCAA